AACUUUUGACCGGUACUGUAUGUCAGGAAAUGAAUGACAAAUAUUCAAUACAUGUAUUUGGAAAAUACAGUAUUUAUGUCACAAAGAAGUCGGCUGAACAACAGAUGAGGAAAAUCACCAUAGCCACAGUUCAAAUAUUUUGCAUGCGUGCAGCACUGGAUAAUGCACAAUGGUACAGUAAACUUUAUCCGGCUCAUUCAAAUUGUGUGGUGACAUAAUACAGUAGGUUAGUCAGUUAUUUUAACAUCUCAACGUGCAUGUGUGAGGCACAGAAUGAUCAUACAACACUUGUUACACAAUUAACAAUAACAAAAGAAGACAUUCGAUGUAUGCACGAUACGUUUACAGAAUAUUUUUGUGAGUGUUUACAUAAAAUAGUCAUGGAUUUCUGGUUGAGGUGAGGCAAUCUCAUUGGACAUGCAUGACGGCUGUUUUCGCAGGAACAGUUCAAAAUACGGCAAUUCUAGCUGGUAGAGAUUCCUGAUAAAAAAUGUCUUGCAUUCUACAUCCUUAUCUGCCUGCAUGGACGGUAAGUGAGAAUCAGUGGAGGGUUCAUUUAACAAAACAAGUAGAAUAUUCUCAUUGUCUACAGUGAAGAGGCAAAUCCGGGAUGCUGGCCUUCUAGGCAGAGUUCCUCUGUCCAGUGUCUGUGUUCUUUUGCCCAUCUUAAUCUUUUCUUUUUAUUGGCCAGUCUGAGAUAUGGCUUUUUCUUUGCAACUCUGCCUAGAAGGCCAGCAUCCCGGAGUCGCCUCUUCACUGUUGAGACUGGUGUUUUGUGGGUACUAUUUAAUGAAGCUGCCAGUUGAGGAUUUGUGAGACAUAUGUUAAUGGACAAUUAUUUUUGCUUUUCUUUCAAAAACAAGGACAUUUCUAAGUGACCCCAAACUUUUGAACGGUAGUGUAUGUAACAGUUUUGCUUCCGUAUCUCUCUUCACCCCAACCUGGGCUCAAACCAGAGACCCUCUGCACACAUCGACAACAGUCUCCCUCGAAGCACCGUUACCCAUCGUUCCACAAAAGCUACAGCCCUUGCAGACCAAGGGAAACAACUACUUCAAGAAGAGACACAGCAGUUGACCAUGAUGUGUGAUACCACAAACAACAGCUUUCAGCAUGAUCAUCAACUUGGGCACGUUGAGCUGUAGGCUUACAAAAGAGUUUCCUGGCACCACAUCGACAAUGUCUUCCAAAGAAAACAUCAGGGAGAACCCCCAAGACAUUCAAAUAUCACUUGACAGUUGUGGAGGCAAAGCAAAUGUGAGCUCUCUACUCCUCCUCACCCACGGGCCCUAUGCCACAGGAGGCAUUGCCAAUUCUGCCCUCGGCACUUCCCCUGAGACAUUUUAUAUUUAUUUGAUAAUAGGGGAAUAAAGUAAGAGGAGGAUCUUUUAAGUUGAUUCUGAACCUGAUAGGAUUCCUGGAACUGACAAACCUUGCUCUUUUUAUCUGACAGUUGAUACUGUAUCAACAUUGGCAAACAUCCUAUCGCCAAAUCACCAAAUUUACUGGAGAUCAGGGAAUUUUUCAGGUAAGUGAUAUUUUAAUGUCUUGGGGGUUCUCCCUGAUGUUUUUUGUGGAAGACAUUGUCGGCUCAACGUGCCCAAGUGGCCCAUAUGAGAGUCGAUGAUGUUGUUUGCUGUUGUUGUUUGUGGUAUCACACAUCAUGAUCAACUGCUGUGUCUCUUUUGUGCAAGAAAUACAUAGUAUUUUAGGAACGGAACAUAUUUCUUUGUAUAACAAAGUAGAAAAUAACUGAACUUGAAAGUGGGUAUGAAGUUUUUCAAACAUUUGAGCAGCUUUGUAUUGUUGACUGAAUAAGUUAUUGUCUAGUUUUAUGUUUAUUUAACUACUAUUCAAAAGGAUUAAGAGACUGCAACUGCACAAGUACAUUCCAUCCUUUUGCAACUGAGACAUUACACAUUUUACACCUGUCUGUCUGUAGAACAAAUGGGAUUACUGUGACUGUCAAAGGACUGUACAAUUUGUCCCAAUUCUUUCCUCAUUCUGGUCAAUAAUGGGAAUCAGCUUCUGACCGUGGGAUCCUAUAACUGUCUGCUCAUGGUUUACAUUUCUCCAGGGCCAUUAUAUUAACUUCUUUUGUCAAGUGCAGUAGGCAAAAACAGGUUGGAUCAAUGUUGUUUCCACGUCAUUUCAAUGGAAAACAUCAAUGUGAUGAUGUUGAAUCAACGUGUAAAACCGAUUGGACUUGCAAAAAGUCAUCGACAUCAGGGCAUUUCAUAUGCUUUUCACCAAACUGUUAACCUAAAUCCAAUGACAUGGUGAUAUUUGUUGUUAAUUUCACAUUGAAUUCACGUUAGUUGACUCAACCAAAUAAAAUCAAAACUAUAUGUUGAA